AAUAGAUACCCGGGUAGUCCACGCCGUAAACGAUGAGUGCUAAGUGUUAGAGGGUUUCCGCCCUUUAGUGCUGCAGCAAACGCAUUAAGCACUCCGCCUGGGGAGUACGGUCGCAAGACUGAAACUCAAAGGAAUUGACGGGGGCCCGCACAAGCGGUGGAGCAUGUGGUUUAAUUCGAAGCAACGCGAAGAACCUUACCAGGUCUUGACAUCCUCUGACAACCCUAGAGAUAGGGCUUCCCCUUCGGGGGCAGAGUGACAGGUGGUGCAUGGUUGUCGUCAGCUCGUGUCGUGAGAUGUUGGGUUAAGUCCCGCAACGAGCGCAACCCUUGAUCUUAAUUGCCAGCAUUCAGUUGGGCACUCUAAGGUGACUGCCGGUGACAAACCGGAGGAAGGUGGGGAUGACGUCAAAUCGUCAUGCCCCUUAUGACCUGGGCUACACACGUGCUACAAUGGGCAGACAAAGGGCAGCGAAGCCGCGAGGCUAAGCCAAUCCCACAAAUCUGUUCUCAGUUCGGAUCGC
rnacentral:rRNA from 1 species